UGGGGAAUUUUGGACAAUGGGGGAAACCCUGAUCCAGCCAUCCCGCGUGUGCGAUGAAGGCCUUCGGGUUGUAAAGCACUUUUGGCAGGAAAGAAACGUCAUGGGUUAAUACCCCGUGAAACUGACGGUACCUGCAGAAUAAGCACCGGCUAACUACGUGCCAGCAGCCGCGGUAAUACGUAGGGUGCAAGCGUUAAUCGGAAUUACUGGGCGUAAAGCGUGCGCAGGCGGUUCGGAAAGAAAGAUGUGAAAUCCCAGAGCUCAACUUUUGAACUACAUUUUUAACUACCGGGCUAGAGUGUGGCAGAGGGAGGUGGAAUUCCGCGUGUAGCAGUGAAAUGCGUAGAUAUGCGGAGGAACACCGAUGGCGAAGGCAGCCUCCUGGGAUAACACUGACGCUCAUGCACGAAAGCGUGGGGAGCAAACAGG
rnacentral:rRNA from 1 species